UUAUGUGGUCCCGGCGGCCACUCCCAGUCCCCAGUCUGGCUGCCGCAUUCUGGAUUAGUUGCAGUUUCCAAGUCACCUUCCAAGGUAGCCCCACAGAGAGCGCAUGGCAGUAGUCCAAGCGGGAGAUAACCAGAGCAUGCACCACUCUGGUGAGACGGUCUGUGGGCAGGGAGGGUCUCAUCCUGCGUCCCAGAUGGAGCUGCCCUGGACACAGAACUGACCUGCCCUCCAUGGACAGCUGUGUGUCCAAAAUGACUCCCAGGCUGCGCACCUGGUCCUUCAGGGGAACAGUGACCCCAUUCAGGACCAGGGAGUCCCCCACACCUGCCUGCCCCCUGUCCCCCCAAAACAGUACUUGUUGAAUCUCCCAACAUUCAUCUUCGCCCCAUGCCCACGACUCCUAGUGGGAUCUUCUUGGUCUCUUUGAGAAGGUGACGCCAGACCCAAACGUAAGAACAUCUCUUACGUUCUCAUGCGAAAGCAGAAGAACACCUUUUCCCUAGAAAGCCUGAAUUGUCCCCAAAAAUGCGACUUCGCCGUGACCUCUGCAAAACAUGCCAAGCCUUGCAGGAAUCUUCCGCCAGAUAUUAUGAUACGGCGAAAAGGCGAAUAGACCUUCCUUCGACCCCGCCAAGAAAGAUAACACCUUUAAAACCCAGCGAUGACAACAACAAAAAUCCCAUAAUUGUCCAGGACUUUUGGCUGCCUCGGGGAUAUUUUUUCCCCCAUAUCUCGCUCUCGAGAGAAAAAAAACAUCUCAGAAGUUCAGAGCAUCUGACUUUGGACAAAACAGACGCUGUUGACAGAUUCAAUAGAGAUAAAAAAUCGCAGCCUGUGUCCAUAGGCCACACGGAAACUGGAGACUGGGGCUGAGAGGGAUCUUAAGGCAGUAAACAAGCCCAUAAUGGGGGGGGGAAGGUUUCUUUUCCCAGAAAGGAAAGCAAAAUUUCCCAGGGCUGCGACCUUCAGGAGAUCAUCAUAUCAUUUUUAAAACUAAAAACAAAACCAUAACUUGUUUUUCUCUGUGCUCUGCUUUCUUGGAAAAGGCAACCGUCUUUUAACUCUGACGACGGUUUCCUUUCUCUCCAGAUUAUUCUGUAAAAAUCAGACUUUGCAUUACAGCCACCCGGAAGGCUCUUUGGAGAAAUAUCAAUCUUGCAGUUUCCAUCGGAGAAAGGUUGGAGGGGAUGCAUACACCCUAACAGUUCUCCGAUGGAAAUAGGGACGUCCUAUUCCAUCCCCUCCAACGUUUCUCCCCUGAAAAGAGGGACGUCCUAGUGAUUUUAUUGUACUGAACCUUUUAGGUAUUUUGUCUGUAUGCCAUUAAAGGUUUGAGAUCUGUAAUUCUAGGCUGAGAGGCCUCCCAUUAUGGCCUAGCUGUGCCUAGACUCAACUGGCAGCUCACAGGAAAAUACCUCUCUCCAAUGACAACAAGAAAAAGCACUUUUCCACCUGCCUUGUUCCUGUUUUCUCCAAAAAUAUUUGUGGUGUCUUUCACACGGAAGUUGUGACGGCCGCCUGUUUCACCAGCCUGUCGGUUGCACAACUUGCUGGUGGGGGCAGAGAAGGCGGGGGUCACAGAGGUAUUAGUCACACAGGUGGGGUUUUGGCAGGAGAGGAAAUUCACAGGAAAAGUGUUUUUUUCUGCGCCUCGGCCUGUUUCUCUGCGAGAAGAAACGGAAUCUGAUAUAUUCAUUUAUCCUAUUUGUUUCCGAUAAUUUAUACACCAAUCAAUUGCUUAGAAAACAUCCAAACAAUUAAACGACAAAUAAGAAUUGGCAACCCUAAUGCAAGGCAUUCGAUAAGUCAAAGGUGCAAUAGGCUAGAAGCCGAUUAAGAAACUCUAAAUAUAGAGCCGCCUCUGUUUGUCCUAAAACCUUUAUCGAUUUUAAAACCCGUGUUUACCGGGCCAUGGUUUCGCCAUGUUUGCCUUUGAAAAUAAAUAAAAAGUGUGUGGCUCGGAGCUGCGUUUUGUGGACAGCUUUCUUUGUGUGCUGUUCUGAAACUCCAUAAUAAGUGGGAUCCAAUGAGUGCUGUCCCGCUCUGACUGGCAGCCGCCGCUCUCCAGAGGGGUGCAGGGCGGAAAGAAAAACCCAUUUUUUCCAGAUCACCUGCACCCUUUAAUGCGGAGAUUUAGAGUCUCUCCUCUUGUCCAGGUCAUUUUGGGGGUGGAAUGGGCCUUCACCCUAGCCGGACCCUGGUUCCAUUGAGCGCAGUUGUUAACGGAAAAAUCCGAGGGCUCCCUUGGACAAAAACAAAGACACCAAUCAGGGUAAAUUGGAGCAAAACAGCAGCCUGUAGGCUUGGCCUUUAUUGAUCUGUUGCAACAGGGUGCUCCCCUCACCUGCAGGAGAGAGGAAAAGACACAGAAAAAUGGUGUGCCAGGUCUUAUAAAGACUUUUGAAAUUGCCACCCUGUAGAUCAAGCCCACCCCCAGAAACAUCAUGCAUACAUCACAGAAAGGAGGGGUUGAGGAGGAGUUGUGGUGGUAACCUGAGUGUUCUGUCACCUGGCUGGUUCCCCCUUUCCCCCUCCCCAUGAGUACUUUCCAGGUGACAGAGGGGAGUUUGCAGUUUCCUGCCCCCAGAGGGAAGAGCUGAUUAUUGUCCUUUGUUCCAGUCUGUGCUGAAUCCACUCCCAUAUGCAAGUCCUUUGAGCCUUGAUGGUCUUCUGUCUGGGACCAUCAGGGUUGGCAUAGCAACUGGGCAGGGCUCCUGUGGAUGUGCUGGUAUGCAGAAGGGAUUGUGGCUGCCCUGUAUCAAACCUUCCCCAUUUUGUAGUCCUUCCUUCAUGGAGUAAAAUAAAAGUGGAACGGUGCAGAUCCGAUGUAUGGUUGAUUUUUCUAUAAAUUUAUAACAGAAGCGUAGCGUAUGUAGUGUGUGAGUGUGUGUGAAGUUUGUACAAACCGAAUGAUUCGGGGGGGGGGGGUUUCCUGCAACACUAAAAGCAAAGUGCGAUUCUGACUCUGCAAUUCCAUGAUUCUCUUUUUUUCUUUAUAACAAUUUAUUGAUUUUCCAAAAGUAACAAAAUAAAUAACAAUACCAAAACAAAUUGACAUCUCUCUAGUCCCUUCCUUGGUCCCGUUAUUUAUCAAUAUUCCAAAUGUCCAUUGUUCAGCUUGAAACCCAUUUGAAUUAUCCAUUCAUAACAAAAUUACAAGUAAUUUUAAAACGCUGUAUUUGCCUGUGUACAGUGCUUCUGUAGACAUGCAAUAAAGUCCUUCCAAUCUUCCU
rnacentral:lncRNA from 1 species